AGUAAAUCGAAGCAUUGUUUUAACAAUUGUCCGGCAUGUUUAGAGGAUAUUGAAUUAAAGUUAAAUCUUUCUCAGUUUCCAAAUAACAGCAGUGAGUACAAACAAAUUGCAAAAUCAGUGGGUCUUCUGCAAAAAAAAAGAAGAGGUAUUAUUAGAUGUAACAAAAAAAAUAGUUAAAAAGUUGGAUGUACAAUUUAAUAAAACAUUUAAGACAUCAUUUUCGCAAACACAUGCUGACCUCCUUGAUAUUGGAUAUGCAAAUCCAUCAGAAAUUAAACAAACACAGAAGCUAAUAAUAAAAAGUACAAUAUCUAAAAUUGAAAAUCAAUGGAAAGCUACUAGUGUUGAAAGAGUUUAUGGUACAAAUCUUUCACUCCGAACAAGAAACAAGUUAAGACUUUCAUCAAGUAUGGAGUCCUAUCAUGAAGCUGAACACAGAAAGAUAGAAACUGAGAACCAAAUGAAAAAGGGUGUUAAGCGAAAAAAAAGUCAUGUUGGCUCUACUGAACGAUAUACAUGGAAAAAAGAGAAGUGUCUCAAUGAAUUUUUAAAUUACAAAGAAG